GCCGGGCAUGGUGGCUCAUGCCUGUAAUCCUAGCACUUUGGGAGGCCAAGAUGGGUGGAUCGCCUGAGGUCAGGAGUUCGAGACCAGCCUGACCAACAAGGUGAAACCCAUCUCUA
ensembl:misc_RNA Metazoa_SRP Metazoan signal recognition particle RNA